GAUGAACGCUGGCGGCGUGCCUAAUACAUGCAAGUCGAGCGAACAGACGAGGAGCUUGCUCCUCUGACGUUAGCGGCGGACGGGUGAGUAACACGUGGAUAACCUACCUAUAAGACUGGGAUAACUUCGGGAAACCGGAGCUAAUACCGGAUAAUAUAUUGAACCGCAUGGUUCAAUAGUGAAAGACGGUUUUGCUGUCACUUCUAGAUGGAUCCGCGCCGCAUUAGCUAGUUGGUAAGGUAACGGCUUACCAAGGCAACGAUGCGUAGCCGACCUGAGAGGUGGAUCGGCCACACUGGAACUGAGACACGGUCCAGACUCCUACGGGAGGCAGCAGUAGGGAAUCUUCCGCAAGGGGCGAAAGCUUGACGGAGCAACGCCGCGUGAGUGAUGAAGGUCUUCGGAUCGUAAAACUCUGUUAUUAGGGAAGAACAAAUGUGUAAGUAACUAUGCACGUCUUGACGGUACCUAAUCAGAAAGCCACGGCUAACUACGUG
rnacentral:rRNA from 1 species